CGUUCCACACGUCUGCGGCCCAACUCAUUUCCAAGCCCAGCCAGGAGCCGUCUCGUCGCCCUCCGCUCCGGAGGCGACGCGGGGCGGCGGAGCAGCAAUACGCGGCGAGACGGCGCCGCGCGCAGCAGUGACGGCCGCGGCGGACGGCUGCCAGAGUUGGGCAUCAGGUCCUGUGCCACGCCCACGCUCUCCGGAGCAGCGAAUGUUUGCACUUCCUUUUGAAGUCGAGGCCAUGUUUUCGGCUACGCUAAAAGCAGUGGUUGAUGUCAGAGUCAAGAGAGUCGGCAGGCUCUUGACUACAUGAAUAUCGAUAAGGAACAAUUGUCCCGAUAAAACUCGCGUCUUUUCUCUUAGCAACUGGCUACAAAUAUCUCUGGAUACAAGCAGGAGCUCACCGGUUGCAAAGUACGAAGGGAGAGUAACAGGGACUAGCUUUCUGGUUGUUUUUCUUUGGGCAUCUACGAUGACUAAUGCUUUGCAUGAGCCCUAGCUCAUUUUGUUGUAAAACUCUAAUUUCUUCAUCUUAAUAAAAAAUGUGCAGCUCUCCUGCGUAUUGGGAAAAAAAGUUGCUAAGAGAAACCCAGACCCCGUUCGGCAGCUGCUUGGCUGGCUGCGUUGCUGGCUUCCGGCUGUUGGCUGCUGCUUCUGGUUGUUGGCUGCUGCUUCUGCUUUGCAGCUGCGCUCCAUGUACUGCUUCUUUGUAGCUGGCUUGUACUGCGGGAUGCCGCAAUCGAAUUCAAAUUUUUA